UACGUAGGGGGCGAGCGUUGUCCGGAUUUAUUGGGCGUAAAGAGCGUGUAGGCGGCCAGGUAGGUCAGCUGUGAAAACUCGAGGCUCAACCUCGAGAUGUCGGCUGAAACCAUCUGGCUAGAGUCCGGAAGAGGAGAAUGGAAUUCCCGGUGUCAGCGGUGAAAUGCGCAGAUAUCGGGAAGAACACCCGUGGCGAAGGCGGUUCUCUGGGAC
rnacentral:rRNA from 1 species